rnacentral:rRNA from 1 species
UACGGAGGGUGCAAGCGUUAUCCGGAUUCACUGGGUUUAAAGGGUGCGUAGGUGGGUUUGUAAGUCAGUGGUGAAAUCUCCGGGCUUAACUCGGAAACUGCCAUUGAUACUAUAGAUCUUGAAUAUCCUGGAGGUGAACGGAAUAUGUCAUGUAGCGGUGAAAUGCUUAGAUAUGACAUAGAACACCAAUUGCGAAGGCAGUUCACUACGGGAUCAUUGACACUGAGGCACGAAAGCGUGGGGAUCAAACAGG